rnacentral:rRNA from 1 species
AUUGAACGCUGGCGGCAUGCUUUACACAUGCAAGUCGAACGGUAACACGCCGCAUUGUUCUGACGAGUGGCUAACGGGUGAGUAAUUCAUCGGAACGUGCCCUGUCGUUGGGUCUAACUUCUCGAAAGAGUAGCUCAUACCGCAUACGAUCUAUGGAUGAAAGCGAUGGACCGUAACUCCUCGGUCGAUUGGAUCGGGCUAUGUCAGAGUAGGUUGUUGUUGGGGUAAAGGUUCAGCAAGCCAACGACCUGUACCUGGUCUGAGAGGAAGAGCAGCCACACUGGGACUGAGACACGGCCCAGAGUACUACGGGAGGGAGCAGUGGGGAACUUUGGACAAUGGGCGCAAACAUGAUACAGAAAUGCAGAGUGCAGGAAGAAGGCCUUGGGGUUGUAAACUGCUUCUGUACGGAGUGAAACGGCUCUGGUAAAUAACAAGGGAUAAUGACGGUACCGUAAGAAUAAGCACCGGCUAACUACGUG